rnacentral:misc_RNA from 1 species
UCGAGUUAUUCAACUCCCAAACCCUAUGUGAACUUACCACUUGUUGCUUCGGCGCGCGCUUCGGCGCCGCCGAGGACACUUAAACUCUUUGUUUUUAUAAGCAUUUCUGAGUGGCCGAAAGGCAAAAAUACAAAUGAAUCAAAACUUUCAACAACGGAUCUCUUGGUUCUGGCAUCGAUGAAGAACGCAGCGAAAUGCGAUAAGUAAUGUGAAUUGCAGAAUUCAGUGAAUCAUCGAAUCUUUGAACGCACAUUGCGCCCGCCAGCAUUCUGGCGGGCAUGCCUGUUCGAGCGUCAUUUCAACCCUCGAGCCCGACUCUCCGGAGGACGGCUCGGCGUUGGGGGACGGCAGACUCCCCCCGGCACCUCGCCGGGGACGCCGCCCCCGAAAUUUAGUGGCGGCCCUCCGAGGCGACCUCUGCGUAGUAACUUGUUCUCGCACCGGAAAGCUCAGAGCGGCCACGCCGUAAAACCCCAACUUUUUUUAG